UUGAACGCUGGCGGCAGGCCUAACACAUUCAAGUCGAACGGUAACAGGAAGAAGCUUGCUUCUUUGCUGACGAGUGGCGGACGGGUGAGUAAUGUCUGGGAAACUGCCUGAUGGAGGGGGAUAACUACUGGAAACGGUAGCUAAUACCGCAUAACGUCGCAAGACCAAAGAGGGGGACCUUCGGGCCUCUUGCCAUCGGAUGUGCCCAGAUGGGAUUAGCUAGUAGGUGGGGUAACGGCUCACCUAGGCGACGAUCCCUAGCUGGUCUGAGAGGAUGACCAGCCACACUGGAACUGAGACACGGUCCAGACUCCUACGGGAGGCAGCAGUGGGGAAUAUUGCACAAUGGGCGCAAGCCUGAUGCAGCCAUGCCGCGUGUAUGAAGAAGGCCUUCGGGUUGUAAAGUACUUUCAGCGGGGAGGAAGGGAGUAAAGUUAAUACCUUUGCUCAUUGACGUUACCCGCAGAAGAAGCACCGGCUAACUCCGUG
rnacentral:rRNA from 1 species